AAUGCACCAGUCCAGGAAUAAUUAUCCCUAUGAAAUGACCAGCUUCUAAAACAAACACUGCUGUUUUAUUUAGCAGUUGAAAGCAGCCUACUUGGCUGCCAGGUUCAGUCCUCACGGGCACGGUUUUAUUCAGAGUGCCCAUGAACUAUGCUUUCAUAACUGUAUGAUUCAGGGAGUCUGUGCCAUGGCAGCAGCUGGCCCAUACUACACAGCAGCAGCUGGAUUCAGGAUACCACAGCAACAAUCAGGGGUGGACAGACAGCAAUGUGGAAACAGCAGUCAAAAUCUGUGGGUCCACAGGACAGGCUUAGCCGUGUCCUUGUACUGAAGGAGCUUGACUGCCACUGCUCUAAUGGGAUAUCUAGACAGGAAACAGCAUCUCUACCGUGUUUAUGCCUCUCAGCCACUUGGGUAACCAGACCAAAGAUCCCUAUACUGCUCUCCUGUCUGACCACCCAGAAAGGCUCUGGAGAGAAUACAGGCCAUACAGCAUGACCAGAAGGUGAACAAACCAGCAACGCAUGGAUGGGACCAGAUUCCAAAGUCCAGCACCUUUCACAGCAAAUCCUUGGCCAGCUUUCCUUUCUCUCUUCGAAAUGACCUCUUCAGACGGUCAAAUCCUGCCUCUUGCUGGAGUUAACACAAGAGGGAGCUUGUGCACCAGUGUACCACUCAAAAUCAAAUGGGCAUGAUAGUCAGAAGUUCAGAGAGAGCAAAUGUGUACAUGCAGCCAGAGGCAUGUGGCUCUAAAAUGCAGGGUGAAACAAAUGGCAGACUAAACUGUGUAGGAGGUCUCAGCACCCCCUCAA